rnacentral:rRNA from 1 species
AUUGAACGCUGGCGGCAUGCCUUACACAUGCAAGUCGAACGGUAACAGGUCUUCGGUUGCUGACGAGUGGCGAACGGGUGAGUAAUACAUCGGAACGUGCCCGAUCGUGGGGGAUAACUAAUCGAAAGAUUUGCUAAUACCGCAUACGAUCUACGGAUGAAAGCAGGGGACCUCCAGGCCUUGCGCGACCAGAGCGGCCGAUGGCAGAUUAGGUAGUUGGUGGGAUAAAAGCUUACCAAGCCGACGAUCUGUAGCUGGUCUGAGAGGACGACCAGCCACACUGGGACUGAGACACGGCCCAGACUCCUACGGGAGGCAGCAGUGGGGAAUUUUGGACAAUGGGCGCAAGCCUGAUCCAGCAAUGCCGCGUGCAGGAUGAAGGCCUUCGGGUUGUAAACUGCUUUUGUACGGAACGAAAAGACUCUGGUUAAUACCUGGGGUUCAUGACGGUACCGUAAGAAUAAGCACCGGCUAACUACGUG